rnacentral:rRNA from 1 species
AGAUAUUUAGAAGCUUGCUUUUAAUAUCUUAGCGGCGGACGGGUGAGUAACGUGUGGGCAACCUGCCUCAUACAGAGGGAUAAUCAUGUGAAAACGUGACUAAUACCGCAUGUCAUUUGUUGAAGGCAUCUUCGACAAAGAAAAGGAGUAAUCCGGUAUGAGAUGGGCCCGCAUCUGAUUAGCUAGUUGGUGAGAUAACAGCCCACCAAGGCGACGAUCAGUAGCCGACCUGAGAGGGUGAUCGGCCACAUUGGGACUGAGACACGGCCCAAACUCCUACGGGAGGCAGCAGUGGGGAAUAUUGCACAAUGGGGGAAACCCUGAUGCAGCAACGCCGCGUGAAGGAAGACGGUUUUCGGAUUGUAAACUUCUAUCAAUAGGGACGAAGAAAGUGACGGUACCUAAAUAAGAAGCCCCGGCUAACUACGUGCCAGCAGCCGCGGUAAUACGUAGGGGGCAAGCGUUAUCCGGAAUUACUGGGUGUAAAGGGUGAGUAGGCGGCAUGACAAGUAAGAUGUGAAAGCCCGUGGCUUAACCACGGGAUUGCAUUUUAAACUGUUGAGCUAGAGUACAGGAGAGGAAAGCGGAAUUCCCAGUGUAGCGGUGAAAUGCGUAGAUAUUGGGAAGAACACCAGUGGCGAAGGCGGCUUUCUGGACUGAAACUGACGCUGAGGCACGAAAGCGUGGGGAGCAAACAGGAUUAGAUACCCUGGUAGUCCACGCCGUAAACGAUGAGUGCUAGGUGUCGGAGGGGAACCUUCGGUG